rnacentral:tRNA from 1 species
AGGUAGGGUGGCCGAGUAGGUGGCGAGUUGUAGCCUCGCUCACGGGCUAGAUGGCCCCCCAACCAA